rnacentral:lncRNA from 1 species
AUGUGGUUAGUAACUCAAAAAUGUAAAGUUAAUAAGUUGUGAAAAUGAUAUGUAUGAUUUAAGAAACUUUUUGAUUAAUGAAUAAGUGUUAUGAAAUGUACACUUAUGAUUCUGAAAUAUGUAUGGUAAGGUAAGAUUUGUACUAAGUUAACAAGUUUAACUAGAAAUGGGUGUUAUUUUGUAAGUCGAUGUUAAUAUGUCUAAUAGAUAUUAUGAUUCCACUAAAAUGUGU